UACGAAGGGGGCUAGCGUUGUUCGGAAUCACUGGGCGUAAAGCGCACGUAGGCGGAUUGUUAAGUCGGGGGUGAAAUCCUGAGGCUCAACCUCAGAACUGCCUUCGAUACUGGCAAUCUCGAGUCCGGAAGAGGUUGGUGGAACAGCUAGUGUAGAGGUGAAAUUCGUAGAUAAUUCGCAAGAACACCAGUGGCGAAGGCGGCUCACUGGCCCGAUACUGACGCUGAGGCACGAAAGCGUGGGGAGCAAACAGG
rnacentral:rRNA from 1 species